rnacentral:tRNA from 1 species
UGACAUAUAACACAAUGGUAAGUGUAUUAUUCUACGGAAAUAAAAAUGUAAGUUCAAUUCUUACUAUGUCAU